rnacentral:lncRNA from 1 species
GGUUCGUUCAUGAUUAGCGUAAUUUAGAUUAAGUAAAGCGUGGGCUUCAAUUUAAGAUGCACUUCUGAAUACGGGG